CCUCGCUGGGUGGGGAUGGGGGAAACUGACAGCAAGGACAAGGCCUCUGUCCCCAACUCUUCACCCUUCACCCUGGGAUUCAGAGUGUGAGGCAGGGAUGUCCCAUUUCAGAAGAUUCUACAAGACCCUUGUUUUGAACUAGUCAGCAUUUCUACCCCAUUACUACGAGAUCUACCAUCCCUUCAGCCAGGCUUCUCUUCACAGCCCAAGAUGGCCACUCUACCUCCCAGCACUGGGUCUGCAUUUCAGCCAGCAGGAAGGAGAAAAGGGAGAGAAGGGCACACACUGUCUCUUUAAGAUACUUGCCUGAAGUUGAAGAUCAUUUCUGCUUAUCUAUCAUGGGCCACAACUUAGUUGCAUGGCCACAUCGAGCUGCAAGGGAGCUGGGAAACUGGGGCCUUUAUUCUGACCAGCUGUGCAACUAGAUAAACAGCAGCGUUCUUUUACUUAGAAGAAGGGGAGGACAGAUACUGGAUCACUUCUAGCAGGUCCUACCCUGGGCCUGACUUCAUCCUGAACUCUACGGACUUUGAGCUCAAUAAACUAUAUUGCUCAGAAAACGUUUAUUCCUCAACUCCAGGGAGAACCCUUUCAAUUCACUGCACAUAAGAACGCCAGGCUGCUCUCCUGAACCUAGCUCCCAGGAAGCAGCAUUUACGUCUUUUUGUCUCUGGACCCGGCACGUAGAAAACCUUGAAAAAUGCUUGUUAAAUUGAAGUUUCCAAUCUGCAUAUUUUGGAUCCUGUUGCAUUAACCGGAUGGAACUCAUCGUGCAACUCAUCAUGGGAUGUUAGCAGCCUCAGCCCCCCCACCUCCCCAGUACAUAGUUGUGUAUUCUAGCUGUAGGUCCUUCUGGUUGUGCUAUGUGGGACGCCACCUCAGCAUGGCCUGAUAAGCAGUGCCAUGUCUAUGCCUGGGAUCAGAACUGGCGAAACCCCGGGCUGCCAAAGCAGAGCGCGCAUGAACUUAACAACUCAGCCACGGGACCGGCCCUGGGAGAUCAUCUUCUUGAAUGCACACAGAGCCCAUGGGGUGGCUGCCUGCACAGCGCACAACCCAUGCCCUGAAGCGACCCUCUCCAAGAUCUCUUUGCUUAUUGGAUGAAGCUCUGCCUCCUCUCCCCCCAGCCCUGGUUCCCUUUGAGAAAUGCAAAGCACAGGAGCGGAAACCCAGAUGAUGUAAGGCUCCUGUUACCAAAAUGUGAGUUUACUAUAGAAAUAUAGAUUCACAAAUGUCUUAUAUUUUAAUAAUAACCAUUUUUGUGAGUGAAUGAGUUACACACGUAUAGGGUUUAAAAAUGUGAAGAUAUAGGGGCUGGCCCCGUGGCCGAGUCGUUAAGUUCACGUGCUCCACUGCAGGCAGCCCAGUGUUUCGUUGGUUCGGAUCCUGGGCGCGGACAUGACACUGCUCAUCAAACCACGCUGAGGCAGCGUCCCACAUGCCACAACUAGAAGAACCCACAACGAAGAAUACACAACUAUGUAUCGGGGGGCUUUGGGGAGAAAAAGGAAAAAAAAAAUAAAAUCUUUAAAAAAAAAUGUGAAGAUAUAAAGGGUCUAAUUUGAAAAGACUUCUCAUCACUGAUCCUGUUACCCUUCCUAGAGGCUGCCACUUGGCUGUUCUUUAAGAGAAAUUCCACACAUAAAAUACCCCAUCCCCACAAACAGCAGCAUUGUUCUGCUUGCCUUUUUCCUUAAUAAUACAUCUUGGAGAUAUACACAAAGAACUGGCUCUUUCUUUUUAAAGGCUACAGGGCACAUUACAUGUGAGUAAGGCCCUUAUUUAGCCAGGCCUCUCUGGAUGGACCUUCAGGUUGUUUCCAAUCUUUUAUUAAUGCAAACCAUGCUUCAACAAACACUUUGUUCAUCCUUUUUGCAUGUGGAUAAGGAAAUUCCUAAAAGCAGGACUAUAUGUGCAUUUUAAACUCUGAUAGCUAUCACUGUUUUAUUCAUUUUGUUAUAUGGAUGCAUCAUAGUUCAUUUGGCCAGUCCAUUCUUCU
rnacentral:lncRNA from 1 species